rnacentral:tRNA from 1 species
GUUUUAAUAGUUUAACAAAAACAUUGGUCUUGUAAAUCAAAAAUAAGAAAAUUUUCUUUUAAAACA